CAAUAGCGUAUAUUAAAGUUGUUGCGGUUAAAAAGCUCGUAGUUGGAUUUCUGUUGAGGACGGCCGGUCCGCACUAUGUGCGUGUAUCUGGUUCGGCCUUGGCAUCCUCUUGAGGAACGUUCCUGCGCUUGAUUGCGUGGGGCGGUAUUCAAGACUUUUACUUUGAGGAAAUUAGAGUGUUCACGGCAGGCAAGCGCCUUGAAUACAUUAGCAUGGAAUAAUAAUAUAGGAUCUUGGUUCUAUUUGUUGGUUUCUAGGGCUAAGGUAAUGAUUAAUAGGGAUAAUUGGGGGCAUUUGUAUUAACGCGUCAGAGGUGGAAUUCUUGGAUUGCGUUACGACAAACUACUGCGAAAGCAUUUGCCAAGGAUGUUUNCAUUGA
rnacentral:rRNA from 1 species